UACGUAGGGUGCAAGCGUUGUCCGGAAUUAUUGGGCGUAAAGAGCUCGUAGGCGGUUUGUCGCGUCUGCUGUGAAAUCCCGAGGCUCAACCUCGGGUCUGCAGUCGAUACGAGCAAACUAGAGUGUUGCAGGGGAGACUGGAAUUCCUGGUGUAGCGGUGAAAUGCGCAGAUAUCAGGAGGAACACCGGUGGCGAAGGCGGGACUCUGGGCCGAUACUGACGCUGAGGAGCGAAAGCGUGGGGAGCAAACAGG
rnacentral:rRNA from 1 species